ACGUACACUCCUGCGGGAGGCAGCAGUGGGGAAUAUUGCACAAUGGGCGCAAGCCUGAUGCAGCCAUGCCGCGUGUAUGAAGAAGGCCUUCGGGUUGUAAAGUACUUUCAGCGGGGAGGAAGGCAAUACGGUUAAUAACCGUGUUGAUUGACGUUACCCGCAGAAGAAGCACCGGCUAACUCCGUGCCAGCAGCCGCGGUAAUACGGAGGGUGCAAGCGUUAAUCGGAAUUACUGGGCGUAAAGCGCACGCAGGCGGUCUGUCAAGUCGGAUGUGAAAUCCCCGGGCUCAACCUGGGAACUGCAUUCGAAACUGGCAGGCUUGAGUCUUGUAGAGGGGGGUAGAAUUCCAGGUGUAGCGGUGAAAUGCGUAGAGAUCUGGAGGAAUACCGGUGGCGAAGGCGGCCCCCUGGACAAAGACUGACGCUCAGGUGCGAAAGCGUGGGGAGCAAACAGGAUUAGAUACCCCUGUAGUCCCAUGAU
rnacentral:rRNA from 1 species